rnacentral:rRNA from 1 species
AAUAUUGUACAAUGGGCGAAAGCCUGAUCCAGCCACGACGCGUGUGUGAAGAAGGUCUUCGGAUUGUAAAGCACUGUAAGAUGGGAGGAAGUGAAUGAAGUUAAUACCUAUCUGUUUUGACGUUACCUACAGAAUAAGCACCGACUAACUCCUUCCCAGCAGCCGCGGUAAUACGCAGGGUGCAAGCGUUAAUCGGAAUUACCUGGCGUAAAGCGCGCGUAGGUGGUUUGUUAAGUUGGAAGUGAAAGCCCCGGGCUCAACCUGGGAACUGCUUUCAAAACUGGCAAGCUAGAGUAUGGCAGAGGGUGGUGGAAUUUCCUGUGUAGCGGUGAAAUGCGUAGAUAUAGGAAGGAACACCAGUGGCGAAGGCGACCACCUGGACUAAUACUGACACUGAGGUGCGAAAGCGUGGGGAGCAAACA